CCUACGGGUGGCAGCAGUGGGGAAUAUUGCACAAUGGGCGCAAGCCUGAUGCAGCCAUGCCGCGUGUGUGAAGAAGGCCUUCGGGUUGUAAAGCACUUUCAGCGGGGAGGAAGGCGGUGAGGUUAAUAACCUCAUCGAUUGACGUUACCCGCAGAAGAAGCACCGGCUAACUCCGUGCCAGCAGCCGCGGUAAUACGGAGGGUGCAAGCGUUAAUCGGAAUUACUGGGCGUAAAGCGCACGCAGGCGGUCUGUCAAGUCGGAUGUGAAAUCCCCGGGCUCAACCUGGGAAUUGCAUUCGAAACUGGCAGGCUAGAGUCUUGUAGAGGGGGGUAGAAUUCCAGGUGUAGCGGUGAAAUGCGUAGAGAUCUGGAGGAAUACCGGUGGCGAAGGCGGCCCCCUGGACAAAGACUGACGCUCAGGUGCGAAAGCGUGGGGAGCAAACAGGAUUAGAUACCCCUGUAGUC
rnacentral:rRNA from 1 species